GCCGUGCAGUAAGAGCAAGUUAUCUCCAAACCACGUAAACGAACGUGUUAGCGGUUUGCAUCUCUUCCUUUGUAUUUAGCUUUCAUAUUUGUAUUCGUGGUUAUAUUCUUUGUUUGCCGCUGUAUACUAACGAAUACAUAGGAAGCGAUCAAUUUUAGGGUACCGUCUAUCCAAUCCCCCUUCAAACUGGCCAUCGAUCACUCUAUAUGCCUUCCUUUCACUAUUCAAUGACAGAAGAAAACAAACAAUAAUGAUAUUUUUCUCUAUUUUUUUUUAGCAAUAAUGAUAAUAUGCUCUAAUUUUUUAUGGUUACAUAGGUAUAUAAUUUAUGGAAAAUUCUUUGUUCAUGACCAUUGAUCUUGGCACUAUGCAUGAAUUAGAAAUAAUGCAUGAAACACAUCUAAGAAGAUUAAAAUAUACAAUAUCCAAUUAAGAAAUAACUGCUCCAAUAAAGUAAUAUAUAAAAGAUAAUGACAAUUUACAAUUUGUCAUUGCAACUUAAUCCACUUGUUACGUUAUACAUAGUUUCUUGUUGUAGAUCAUUAUUUAUUAUUCUAAUUGUAGGGAAUAUAAAUCUUUUUUCUAAUAGAAACUUCAUUGUUUAUUAUAAACCAAAUAAUUUUCAUAAGUAGUAACUUAGCCUUGGUUAUUUUUUUGCUAUAGGUUAACUAAAAAAUGUUGAAAUCUGCUCUGAACAUGGACUUGUACACAAAAAUUGACUAUCUUAAAUAAGGUUUCAUUUAUUCUCUAGUAAUCAUAGCAUCUUGGAGCCACUAUUCUUGAUAAUUUAUUCUCUAGUAAUCAUAGCAUCUUGGAGCCACUAUUCUUGAUACUACCUUGGCUGUUUACAAUGUCAAGAUUGAUAAAAGGUGACUUUCUAGUAAUCCUAUGCCUCAAACUCUCUUUUAAGAAGGACUAUGAUUGCUUUUAUACAAUUUAUUAUAACGUAUUACAAUUUUGAUUCAAUUCAUCAUCUAUCAAUAUUUUGAUUACAAAAUGUGAUUUUUGUCUUCUUUGUGUGCAUUAGAUAACCAUUGUAUUAGAUGUAUUUUAUAUUAUCUUGUUUUACUCUCUUAUCAUGAUUUUACUUAAUGGUUGCAUGGUCAUAAUACAAGUAACUUAAUUUUACUAGAUGACUCCCUUUUGGUUGAUACCUCAAGAUAUCAGUAUCAAGCUUAGCGAGAUGGUGAAUUAGGAUCCUGUCUCUUUCUCAUUCAUUCACUUUGUUGAUCUUUUUUCAGAUUUAUCAAGAUGUGAAAAGUAUUGCUCUGUUAUUAGUUUUUCCAUUCUACUUAUAUGAAUCUGAUUAGUUAGCACAAAUUAAGUGAUUCUUUGGAUGAUACUAUCUAGCUUGAUGGGUUAGCAAACAAAAAAGCUUUUCUUUGAUUUCUCGAAACACAACUCCAACUGCUGAUGGACUAGUAAAAAUUGCAGGUUGAGACUAAAGAUGAUUAUCUUUUGUCCAUUCAACAUGUUCAUCAUGGGAAAAAUAACUUUGGGAGAAAGGCAUGUCCCUCCGGUUUUCUUCCAACAUGGUCUUUUUAGGGUGGAGAUACAUAGUUCAUGAAUUUAUUUAAGUAGUCGCUAGGUUUCAUCCUUGCAGAUAGUGGGUUUGAUGCUUGGGUUAGUAAUGUAUGCAGCACAAGAUGGAGCCAUGGCUAUACCAGUUUAUCUGUUCAUGAGAAGGCAUAUUGGAAUUGGGGUUGACAAGAAUCGGCACAGAAUGACUAGCAAGCUAUGAUAAGUUAUAGAUUUUCUAAACUAGUAACCUUUAUUGAUGUUUGUAGUUAUUAGAUUUAGAAUCUUAUUUAUCGUUUUACACUUUUCAUGCUAUGUGUUGAAACCAAAGAGGGGCUGAAAUGAAUUUGCAAAAAUUUAAGUGGUUACACCAGGAAGACUUUAUAUCAAUCUGUUAGGUAUACAAUUAUAUUUUCUAAUUUAUAGCAUAUAUGUUUAUUUGAGCAGGAGCCAUCAAGGGUA